rnacentral:misc_RNA from 1 species
GUUGAAGAACGUAGCAAAAUGCGAUAAGUAAUGUGAAUUGCAGAAUUCAGUGAAUCAUCGAAUCUUUGAACGCACAUUGCGCCCGCUGGUAUUCCGGCGGGCAUGCCUGUUCGAGCGUCAUUUCAACCCUCAAACCCCCGGGUUUGGUGUUGGGGAUCGGCUCUGCCUCACGGCGGUGCCGCCCCCGAAAUACAUUGGCGGUCUCGCUGCAGCCUCCAUUGCGUAGUAGCUAACACCUCGCAACUGGAACGCGGCGCGGCCAUGCCGUAAAACCCCAACUUCUGAAUGUUGACCUCGGAUCAGGUAGGAAUACCCGCUGAACUUAAGAAUAUCAAUAAGCGGAGGA